rnacentral:rRNA from 1 species
GAUGAACGCUGGCGGCGUGCCUAAUACAUGCAAGUCGAGCGAACAGACGAGGAGCUUGCUCCUCUGACGUUAGCGGCGGACGGGUGAGUAACACGUGGAUAACCUACCUAUAAGACUGGGAUAACUUCGGGAAACCGGAGCUAAUACCGGAUAAUAUAUUUAACCGCAUGGUUCAAUAGUGAAAGACGGUUUUGCUGUCACUUAUAGAUGGAUCCGCGCCGCAUUAGCUAGUUGGUAAGGUAACGGCUUACCAAGGCAACGAUGCGUAGCCGACCUGAGAGCGUGAACGGCCACACUGGAACUGAGACACGGUACAGACUCCUACGGGAGGCAGCAGUAGGGAAUCUUCCGCAAUGGGCGAAAGCCUGACGGAGCAACGCCGCGUGAGUGAUGAAGGUCUUCGGAUCGUAAAACUCUGUUAUUAGGGAAGACCAAAUGUGUAAGUAACUAUGCACGUCUUGACGGUACCUAAUCAGAAAGCAACGGCUAACUACGUG